UCUUCCACAAUGGACGAAAGUCUGAUGGAGCAACGCCGCGUGAGUGAUUAAGGGUUUCGGCUNGUAAAACUCUGUUGUUGGAGAANNCCNNNUNAUAGAGUAAAUGUUAUCAUCUUUACGGUAUCCAACCNNNANCNCACGGCUAACUACGAGCCAGCAGCCGCGGUAAUACGUAGGUGGCAAGCGUUGUCCGGAUUUAUUGGGCGUAAAGCGAGCGCAGGCGGUUUUUUAGGUCUGAUGUGAAAGCCUUCGGCUUAACCGGAGAAGGGCAUCGGAAACCGGGAGACUUGAGUGCAGAAGAGGACAGUGGAACUCCAUGUGUAGCGGUGAAAUGCGUAGAUAUAUGGAAGAACACCAGUGGCGAAGGCGGCUGUCUGGUCUGCAACUGACGCUGAGGCUCGAAAGCAUGGGUAGCGAACAGG
rnacentral:rRNA from 1 species